rnacentral:rRNA from 1 species
GACGAACGCUGGCGGCGUGCUUAACACAUGCAAGUCGAACGGAAAGGCCCUGCUUUUGUGGGGUGCUCGAGUGGCGAACGGGUGAGUAACACGUGAGUAACCUGCCCUUGACUUUGGGAUAACUUCAGGAAACUGGGGCUAAUACCGGAUAGGAGCUCCUGCUGCAUGGUGGGGGUUGGAAAGUUUCGGCGGUUGGGGAUGGACACGCGGCUUAUCAGCUUGUGGGUGGGGUAGUGGAUUACAAAGGCUUUGACGGGUAGCCGUACUGAGAGGGUGACCGGCCACAGUGGGACUGAGGUGGGAGCCAGAGUGAUACGGGAGGCAGGAGUGGAGGAUAGUGCGCGAUACGCGGCAGGAGUGUGCAGCGACGCCGCGUGCGAGAUGACGGCUGUCGGGGUGUAACCCGCUUUCGCCUGUAACGAAGCGUGAGUGACGGUAAUGGAUAAGGAAGCAACGGCUAACUACGUG